CUCGGGAGGCGCGCCGGGGCUCGAGCUUUGCGCAAGGAGCGGUUUAGCCGCAGAGGCCCUGCUUGCUUUCGCCUCUUGCAGGUGGGCGGCGGCGGCGGCGGCGCUCACCAGCGCCCCUCAGGACCGAGCUCCCCCUCGCUGCCUCCCUCGCUUUCACCCACGGAGAGACAGAGAGAGGGAGGCUGCUUGACGGCAAGGGGGCGGCGGGCGCCCAAGGCGCCCCCCCCGGCUAAGCCUGCAGGGCAGGCGGCGCAGGCAGAAGCGGUAGCUGCUCAGAGGAGUCCACUUUUUUUCCCCUUUGACCUCGCCUCCGGGCCGGCCACCGGAGCAGGAGGAGCCCCACUUGCCCACCCUGACGAAGGCGCCCGGUACUAAGUCAUGGAUACAGUUACUAUCACCACAAAAUUGGAAGAUAUGGAAGUCUUCAGGGCUGAUCCUCUACCAACAUCUGGAAAGACAUGACACUGAUUUAGUACAACACGAUUUCUCUGUUGGGGCACCAUUAACCUUUAUUACCAUUGGUGUCUCCCAGUUCCAUUGCACUUUGUUGAAAUGGCAGUCUUCUGCAUACAGAACUUGAGAUUAAAAAGAAGAAGAAGAAAAGAAACCCCCGUACUAUGGAGAGACUGCCAGUGAGGAAAAAGGAGUGUGAAACAGAGGCAUGGAAUAGGGAGAACCAAACAUGGCCAACUUACCAGGGGAGCAGUCCUGGGAUGAGGCCAUUCUCUCCCAAGAAACACCAGGAUCCAGGUCGGAAGGUUUAAGAGGAAAGUGGGAGGUUGGAUGUAUUACUCUGAGUAAUUCAGAAGGAGGAGUUGCUGGGAUUGGUCAAGCUGUUCUCAUCCAGUGCACUCUUACCCCUAGUGGGUGGUUCCCCCCCCCCGUGACAAGGGGAUGUUGGAAUGGUUAAAACGCCAAAGUUACAGCCGGGCAAAUAUGUUAAUACGGUUGGAACAGUUAAAGUUGAGUUGAACCCCUUUUCUCCUAUGUUAAUCACUUCAUGAUUCUGCGGAGAAAGGUGGCCCAAGAGGGGAGGUGGUUGCUAAAGACCCUCGCAGCCAGUCAUACUUCUUUCAGCCUGACCUAUCUCACAGAGAUGUUGUGAAAAUAAAUUAGGCAGGAAAAGAGCUGAUAUGUUACUCGGAGCUCAUUGGAGGAUAACUUAGGAUAUCAGUACAGCUAAUAACCAAUACAUUUAAGAUGAACCUUGUACAGACCAUUUAGAGAGAGAGAAUAAGCAGAUUGUAGGCACUGAUUCCUGCAGCUUGGGAUGUUAGGUCUAAAAAUUAAUUUGUUGAUGUUAACUGCUAAAAAUCAUAGCAUAUAUUUGUUGUUGCUAACAUUUAAACCUGAAAACAUUUAAUCCAUUGAAUUAGCACUAUUAAUUCAUUAAUUAAAAUAAAACAGUGGUGUUUAUAGAUGAUUUUUUUUAUUUAUUAAA